rnacentral:lncRNA from 1 species
AUCUUUAUUUUCUUUUUAUUACCACAUGCAUAAAGUGUCAACAGUCUGGGAUUAUGUUGUACAACAUUUUUUAACAAAUGUAGUUACAAGCAGGUUUCAAAUCUUUACAGUUUUCCUCUAUAGAUUGUACAGAAGAAAAUUCAUUUUGCAACCAUAUGGUUCAUACCUUUCUUUGAUAGCAUCAAGACAGGUAGAACUCACAACACUGAGAAAAAUACACUUGCUUACAUUUAGUAACUAUGUACAGUAGAUAGAUAGAAGCAGCAACACAUACUGAGCUAUUGACUAAGUGCACAUAGUUAAAAGACCCCUUUAGACAGUGAACAUCUCUUUUAUGUCAACUAUAUAAUAAUGCAAAUCAGUAAUCAAGACAUAUCUUGAAGCAUGUGCAAACUCACAAGGUGGAGAUAACUGUUUCUCCUGUUAAUCACUUUUACCAAAAGGAAAUUCAAUUAAAAAAAUAAUACUUAAGUUUUAAAAAGUAAAAACCAUUAUGUGAGCCUACGAGACGCCGACAUGGGAUCUCCCAUUUUGCUCGGUCUAGUGGAUGUCCCAAUAACCCAAUGUAUGCAGAACCAGUGUGCCAACUGUAUGGUUCAAGUUAGAUGAGCCUUCUUCACACACUGGUCUGGUGUGUAAUACAUCCCUUACUUGCUGCCAUCCCAUUCUUUUACUUGCUGAGAUCACACCCAGAACCACUCUUACGGAACAAAAGGGAAGCAUCUUGCUUGUGAUGGAAAAUCUACAGUCCCAUUUCAUAUUCAGCGUGGCUACAACUCACACCUGCACACUGAGCUUCCUCUGGCAAAGCUAAACAAACAUGGAGGGACACUUUGUGUACACAGAUGCACAAGAGCUGGGAAGAGCAAACAGAAGCCCCCACCCCCCUUUGCACACCGUCACAGGGACCAGCUACAAUGGACAUCCUUAUGCUCUCCCAAAUAUAUCCUAGGUUCCCUGCCCCUCACUACGCUGCCAGGAGCCUGUCUCUCACAGGAGGUACAGGGUGUGUGAUGCUCCUAGUCCAGGGGUAUGCUGAGGCCUCCAGGAGCUCCCUCUCCGGCAAUGCACUUUUGCACCACCCCCUUCUGCAAGGCCCAGUGUACCAGGACAAUUUAGCCCUUAGUAGUAGUUCUUAGAGGAUAAAAGGGACUCUUGAAUUAUACUCCAGAGCCCAGAGGUCUAGAAAUGCUCCCAAUUCUGCCAUCUCUGGGGAUGUGGCCAGGAGAGACACAGACCAACUGAAAGAUAUGUCAUUAUCCACCAUUCAGAGAAGUAGUUUAAUAACUGACCUAGCGAUCAAGCUACUGGACUGUAACUAAGGGCCAGAUUGGAGCUCUGUUUUCGCACAGCCCUGACUCAGGGAAAGCUCCCUCCGACAGCAGUCGAAGUUUGGCCCAAGUGAGGACUCUGUAUAAGUGUUCAAUAACAAUUCAUGAAGAGCCAGUGAUUGCAGAUGUAAGCAUGACCUUACAGUGUGAAACGAAGACCCAUGCAAAUCAUUUCCUGUACCCCCCAAGCACUCCACUCAGGAGCCAGUCUCCCCUUGCAAGGGCUGGUAGCAUCUCAAACUCCCCAGAGCAGAGCAGAGGACACUCAUCAGAGGGCAGCGGCAGGGGGGAGAAGGGAUCGGAAUGGGUGCCCCAGCAGGGCCAGGAAAGAGGCCUGGUUAAUAUGCUCUUGUUUGGGAUUUGCCUCUCUGCACACACAGAACCAUACUGAUCUGGGGACUUUACCAGAGAUUUUCCUUCUUUUCCGAAGUUUUGCAGUGUACCUGUAAGAAAUACAGUCUCGCUGCCAGAGUUGGUGAAUCCCUCCAAGUGUCCAGUCCUGGGAUGGCCCGUACUCAUUUUUUAUUCAGUCCCCAUUUGGUUGUACCAGAAGAAUAAACAACACAGCCCCUCCCCCA